rnacentral:rRNA from 1 species
CAGUAGCCGCGGUAAUACGUAGGGUGCAAGCGUUAAUCGGAAUUACUGGGCGUAAAGCGUGCGCAGGCGGUUAUAUAAGACAGAUGUGAAAUCCCCGGGCUCAACCUGGGAACUGCAUUUGUGACUGUAUAGCUAGAGUACGGCAGAGGGGGAUGGAAUUCCGCGUGUAGCAGUGAAAUGCGUAGAUAUGCGGAGGAACACCGAUGGCGAAGGCAAUCCCCUGGGCCUGUACUGACGCUCAUGCACGAAAGCGUGGGGAUCAAACAGGAUUAGAUACCCGAGUAGUCCCUGUCUCUUAUAC